GGAGUGAAAUAGAUCCUGAAACCGUAUGCAUACAAACAGUAGGAGCCUCCUUGUGGGGUGACUGCGUACCUUUUGUAUAAUGGGUCAGCGACUUACAUUCAGUGGCAAGGUUAACCGAAUAGGGAAGCCGUAGCGAAAGCGAGUCCGAAUAGGGCGAUUCAGUCGCUGGGUGUAGACCCGAAACCAGAUGAUCUAUCCAUGGCCAGGUUGAAGGCACGGUAACACGUGCUGGAGGACCGAACCCACUAAUGUUGAAAAAUUAGGGGAUGAGCUGUGGAUAGGGGUGAAAGGCUAAACAAAUCUGGAAAUAGCUGGUUCUCUCCGAAAACUAUUUAGGUAGUGCCUCAAGUAUUACCGUCGGGGGUAGAGCACUGUUUAGGCUAGGGGGUCAUGGCGACUUACCAAACCUAUGCAAACUCCGAAUACCGACGAGUACAGCUUGGGAGACAGAGCACCGGGUGCUAACGUCCGGACUCAAGAGGGAAACAACCCAGACCGCCAGCUAAGGUCCCGAAUUAUCGCUAAGUGGGAAACGAAGUGGGAAGGCUAAAACAGUCAGGAUGUUGGCUUAGAAGCAGCCAUCAUUUAAAGAAAGCGUAAUAGCUCACUGAUCGAGUCGUCCUGCGCGGAAGAUGUAACGGGGCUAAGCGAUAAACCGAAGCUGCGGGUGUGCACUUUUAGUGCACGCGGUAGGAGAGCGUUCUGUAAGCCUGCGAAGGUGGCUUGUAAAGGCUGCUGGAGGUAUCAGAAGUGCGAAUGCUGACAUGAGUAGCGAUAAAGGGGGUGAAAAGCCCCCUCGCCGUAAGCGCAAGGUUUUCUACGCAACGUUCAUCGGCGUAGAGUGAGUCGGCCCCUAAGGCGAGGCAGAGAUGCGUAGCUGAUGGGAAACUGGUUAAUAUUCCAGUACCGUCGUACAGUGCGAUGGGGGGACGGAUCGCGGAAGAUCAUCAGGGUGUUGGAUGUCCCUGUUGCUGUAUCGAAGAUGGCGCUUAGGCAAAUCCGGGCGCGUAAAUCAAGGGUAUGGCACGAGCGAGCAUUGCUUGCGAAGUGAUUGGAAGUGGUUCCAAGAAAAGCCUCUAAGCUUCAGCUGUACGAGACCGUACCGCAAACCGACACAGGUGGACGGGAUGAAUAUUCCAAGGCGCUUGAGAGAACUCAGGAGAAGGAACUCGGCAAAUUGAUACCGUAACUUCGGGAGAAGGUAUGCCCCAAGUAGGUGAACCUGUACAAGGCGAGCCCAACGGGGUUGCAAAAAAUCGGUGGCUGCGACUGUUUAAUAAAAACACAGCACUCUGCAAACACGAAAGUGGACGUAUAGGGUGUGACGCCUGCCCGGUGCUGGAAGAUUAAAUGAUGGGGUGCAAGCUCUUGAUUGAAGUCCCAGUAAACGGCGGCCGUAACAAUAACGGUCCUAAGGUAGCGAAAUUCCUUGUCGGGUAAGUUCCGACCUGCACGAAUGGCGUAACGAUGGCCACACUGUCUCCUCCUGAGACUCAGCGAAGUUGAAAUGUUUGUGAUGAUGCAAUCUCCCCGCGGAAAGACGGAAAGACCCCAUGAACCUUUACUGUAGCUUUGUAUUGGACUUUGAACAGAUCUGUGUAGGAUAGGUGGGAGGCUUUGAAGUGAUGUCGCUAGAUGUCAUGGAGCCAACGUUGAAAUACCACCCUGGUGUGUUUGAGGUUCUAACCUAGGUCCAUUAUCUGGAUCGGGGACAGUGCAUGGUAGGCAGUUUGACUGGGGCGGUCUCCUCCCAAAGCGUAACGGAGGAGUUCGAAGGUACGCUAGUUACGGUCGGACAUCGUGACGAUAGUGCAAUGGCAUAAGCGUGCUUAACUGCGAGACUGACAAGUCGAGCAGAUGCGAAAGCAGGACAUAGUGAUCCGGUGGUUCUGUAUGGAAGGGCCAUCGCUCAACGGAUAAAAGGUACUCUGGGGAUAACAGGCUGAUACCGCCCAAGAGUUCAUAUCGACGGCGGUGUUUGGCACCUCGAUGUCGGCUCAUCUCAUCCUGGGGCUGUAGCCGGUCCCAAGGGUAUGGCUGUUCGCCAUUUAAAGAGGUACGUGAGCUGGGUUUAAAACGUCGUGAGACAGUUUGGUCCCUAUCUUCCGUGGGCGCUGCAGAUUUGAGGAAGCCUGCUCCUAGUACGAGAGGACCGGAGUGGACACACCUCUGGUGUAUCGGUUGUCACGCCAGUGGCAUUGCCGAGUAGCUAAGUGUGGAAGAGAUAACCGCUGAAAGCAUCUAAGCGGGAAACUCGUUUCAAGAUGAGAUCUGCCGGGGCCUUGAGCCCCCUAAAGAGUCGUUCAAGACCAGGACGUUGAUAGGUCAGGUGUGGAAGCGAAAAA
rnacentral:rRNA from 1 species